rnacentral:rRNA from 2 species
AACUUUUAACAACGGAUCUCUUGGCUCUCGCAUCGAUGAAGAACGCAGCGAAAUGCGAUAAGUAAUGUGAAUUGCAGAAUUCAGUGAAUCAUCGAAUCUUUGAACGCACCUUGCGCCCUUUGGUAUUCCGAAGGGCAUGCCUGUUUGAGUGUCA